rnacentral:rRNA from 1 species
UCGGGAAUUUUGGGCAAUGGGGGAAACCCUGACCCAGCAACGCCGCGUGAAGGAUGAAGUAUUUCGGUAUGUAAACUUCGAAAGAAUAGGAAGAAUAAAUGACGGUACUAUUUAUAAGGUCCGGCUAACUACGUGCCAGCAGCCGCGGUAAUACGUAGGGACCAAGCGUUGUUCGGAUUUACUGGGCGUAAAGGGCGCGUAGGCGGCAUGACAAGUCACUUGUGAAAUCUCUGGGCUUAACCCAGAACGGCCAAGUGAUACUGUCGCGCUAGAGUGCAGAAGGGGCAAUCGGAAUUCUUGGUGUAGCGGUGAAAUGCGUAGAUA